AUAGAGGCAUUAAAUGGAACGGAUAAUGGAGUUGGAAUAAAUAUGAAAUAAAGCUGACAGCUUGUGUGGAAAGAGAAGCAUCUCAGUGCUCUAAUAGAAAUGCCUGGACUGAAGGCGGUUAUUCAUAUACCAAAGUAACAUCACUACCACAAGGAAGAGGAAGGUCAUGCAUUUCAAGAGGAUGAGAAGCAAGGCACCCUGAGCUACAGCUGUGAAGCUUUUCAGGAUAAGGGUCGAGGAUAUGUUUGUGACUAAAAGACCACUGGAACAUAGCUUCCUUUUAAUGUAGCUACGAGAAAGACUAAGCAUCUUGCCUGAUUGC